UGGGAUAAUACUUUUGGAUAGUUAAGUUAGAAAAAAAUAUUCGCCAAUAGAGACUUAAAAAAAAAGUCCCACCGAUACUCUUUCUCUUCUUCUCCUCCGCCACAUAGCAACGAAAUUAACAAGAGGAGGAUGACCAGAAGUUGUGAACGGAUCAAACCUCAGUUGGGUCAGAUCGAGGAAGAAACCCAACGACUCUCCACCAUCCGCGAUAGGUGAACCCACGGCGGAGCUUCUCAUCUUACGUUGCAGACACGGGGAAGACAGAGGAAGAGUACGACGGGCGGUGAGAAAUAGGAGCUACAUUGGUUUGAAUAGAUGGACAGGGCUUGAGGUUGGAAGAAUCAGAUAUUUGAGAUCCUUAUGUGUAUGGGUUUGCUUGGUUUCUGCAACUCUUCCUCACAAUCUUUAGGCUUGGACAAGCAGUUCCUCGUGCGACAAGUCUAGCUGAAGGUAAUAGCAGGAGUCAAGCAAAUCUUUUGGCUUGGACUUUGUGAUUUCUCUUGCUUAACAGAUAACACGUAGGGACAAGGGGAUGACGCUUUUCAUCUCUGGUGAGAAGCGGAAUUUCUGUAUCAAACGUCACCUUGUAGCUGCUGGUCCAACAAGAAGCACUAAUCAUGUAACCUCGUACUCUGUUUCUUUAUUGUUUGCAGAUACCGUUACGACACAAAGUAUUCACUUGAUAGGUCUGUUGUUUUGUGGCUCGUUGCCGGUGUCAUAACGGAUGCUAUUAAGGAUGCUGUAGGUCGGCCUCGUCCUGACUUAUUUUGGCGUUGUUUCCCUGAUGGUAGAGGGGUAUGUUGUGCCCUGAGACAACUUAUCUAAUCGUGUAAUCCAAUGUCAUUAGGAUAAGGGUGUUCUCUGUAUUUUCAGGAAGAGAAAGAUGAGAUUGUCUGUUAUAUUAGUUGGGCUUUGUAUGUAUUUGCUUGCAGGGUUAGAGGCACGGAUAAGAGUAAUGUAUUGCACGUUUAUGUAUGUUUUAGAUGAUGGUAUAUGAAAUAAUGUAUUUUAUAAAAUUAAUGAAACAUAAAGUUUUAUUUAUA